GAAUAGCAUUUGUCAAGAGUCUCUGCUUAAAGUGGGUGGAGGGGAAGUCUUUGAUUCUUAGCAGUAAUUUGGGUCUGGGGCAGCAAGCUUUCAGUUCAUGAGGCUAUUGAUAAACUAUUGAUGACCACUGGCUCCAAAACUGGGAAAGUCAGAAAUAAAAGGAUGUGCAGACAGAGUGGGGAUCUAGCAGUGGGUUUCCUUCUGAACCACCACUUUCUAAGUAAAGAAAGAAAGGGGCCAAAAAACAAGGGCUCAGCUGGCCUUUUUAACCAGAGGAGUGCAUACAUGACAAAGAAUAAGUAAAUUAAAAAAUACAAGCCCAAACUGCCAAUUUUGGCAAGUCCACAGACUUGCUUUCUAAGUACAUGUGGCAGGGUCCCCAGAGAGUGAGUUACUAAAAUGUUGGCAUGCGUCCUGGGAGGGCUGCAGAGAAAACAGUCACUUCCACAGCCCUCUUCUGUCACUGCCCAUCGGGAACGCUGGCCUAAAUGAGCUACUUGGCUUGGUCACGUAGGAACGUGUGCCCAGGUUCCACCUGUUACUCAACACUCCCACCAGGGCAGCAGGCAGUAACCAAGAAAGGAAACAGGAGGAGAAAGAAGGGGUUACAACAGAUGCAGAACCAGGAGUUGACUUCUCCAUCAGGCUCCCACCCAGCAUCUUUGGAGCAGCGUGCAGAUUACAGGCCUAUCGAGUUACAGCAUUGCCUUUCAGAGCCUCCAAAAAUCACUCUUUCCCGAGACUUUAAGCUUCUUUCAAAGGCUGCUAACAAGGGAGGUGGCUCUCCAAGGCCCAGAAACCGGAGGAGAGAGGCAUGGGGGAGCCUGACAGGAAGUGAGGAUUCUGGGACUUCAAAUACACACAUUAGAAAAAACAAGCAACAUCUGCAAACAGCUGCAGGUUGAGCCGCCGGAGCCGAGCGGCUUUCCUGGUGGAGAGGAGACCCCAGAGCUCCUGCGGCCGUAGGAACCAUGGUGCCCAACAACAUGCUGAACAGCCAGUUAAACGUGGAUGGCAGAGAAAACACACCAUUCGUAAACAACUUUUUGGUGAUAACUUUGAUGUAUAAAAGUGGUAUAUAUCUCUGGCAGAUAUACACUACUAUGCAAAAGAGAUAAACAAGGUCCUACCGUAUAGCAC
ensembl:lncRNA